rnacentral:tRNA from 1 species
GCCUGGGUGGCUCAGUCGGUUAAGCAUCUGACUUCGGCUCAGGUCAUGAUCUCACAGUUUGUGGGUUCAAGCCUCACGUCAGGCU